CCCUUAGAUGUUCUGGGCCGCACGCGUGCUACACUGAGUGGAUCAGCGGGUCAGGUUGCGCGAAAGCGUUUCCUAAUCUUUAAAUCCGCUCGUGAUGGGGAUUGACGGUUGCAAUUUUCUGUCAUGAACGAGGAAUACCUUGUAAGCGCGGGUCAUCAUCCCGCGCUGAAUACGUCCCUGCCCUUUGUACACACCGCCCGUCGCUCCUACCGAUUGAAUGGUUUAGUGAGAUCUCCGGAUUGGCUCUGUAGGUCCCGCAAGGGAUUUAUUAGUAGCCAAGAAGCUGCUCAAACUUGAUCAUUUAGAGGAAGUAAAAGUCGUAACA
rnacentral:rRNA from 1 species